rnacentral:rRNA from 1 species
CUACGAGUUUGAUCCUGGCUCAGAUUGAACGCUGGCGGCAUGCCUUACACAUGCAAGUCGAACGGUAGAGUAGCAAUACUUGAGAGUGGCGAACGGGUGAGUAAUAUAUCGGAACGUGCCCGGUCUGGGGGGAUAACGUAGCGAAAGCUACGCUAAUACCGCAUACGAUCUACGGAUGAAANCGGGGGGAUCGCAAGACCUCGCGCGAUUGGAGCGGCCGAUAUCAGAUUAGGUAGUUGGUGAGGUAAAGGCUCACCAAGCCGACGAUCUGUAGCUGGUCUGAGAGGACGACCAGCCACACUGGGACUGAGACACGGCCCAGACUCCUACGGGAGGCAGCAGUGGGGAAUUUUGGACAAUGGGCGCAAGCCUGAUCCAGCAAUGCCGCGUGCAGGAAGAAGGCCUUCGGGUUGUAAACUGCUUUUGUACGGAACGAAAAGGUCUGCCCUAAUACGGCGGGCCCAUGACGGUACCGUAAGAAUAAGCACCGGCUAACUACGUG